rnacentral:rRNA from 1 species
UACGAAGGGGGCUAGCGUUGCUCGGAAUUACUGGGCGUAAAGCGCGCGUAGGCGGACCUGCAAGUCGGGGGUGAAAGCCCGAGGCUCAACCUCGGAACUGCCUUCGAUACUGCGGGUCUCGAGUCCGGGAGAGGUGAGUGGAAUUCCUAGUGUAGAGGUGAAAUGCGUAGAUAUUGGGAGGAACACCAGUGGCGAAGGCGGCUCACUGGACCGGUACUGACGCUGAUGCGCGAAAGCGUGGGGAGCAAACAGG